rnacentral:lncRNA from 1 species
UAAGAUGCAUGGAUAAUUGAUUGGUGGUGAUGGCGCGUGGAGAAUAGAAAGUAAGAUGAGAGUGACAGAAUGUGGAAUAAUAGAAAACACUUUUGGAAAUGAGAGGAAAACUCAAGGAAAGAAAAGGCAUUUGAAAAUAUAUAGGUUUGGUGGGGUCCACAGAGCAUGGCAAAGCGCGUGAAUGUGGCCCCCAUUGAUCAUUCAAACUUCAAAGAGAAAAAACCGCGCGACUUUCGGAAGUGGGUGGGUCGUAACUUUUCCCUUACCCAUAUAACUUAUUCUUAUUUAUUA